AUUCAUUACCAAUGAUCUACCACAACCUUUCUCCAUGUCGGGAAAUAUAUUCCAGUUGGAGUAGAAGACCUGUCCUGCUGCCGCAUAACUGGAUGACAAAGGACACUGAUGCAUUAUUGGCCCUGCACCAACCACCUAGUUCCGAGAUGAUGCCCGUGGACUCCCCAAACCAAAACGAUGUUGCAUUCCCAAACCCACCAUCAGGGAGGCGUGAGUAUCGCAAACUCUAUAAAGAACAGAAGGACAAGCCUUUAGUACACCAGGACACAUUUUCCACCUGGUGUCGAGCGCUACCUAAACUGAGGCGUGACAAAGAUGGCAAUGAUGUUAGUUGGACAACAUAUCCCAAACUUCCGUAAAUCCAGAAGAAAAAGGAUCAGGGUAUGAGCAGUCAGCCAGAGGAAAAGGUUGAUAAAAUUCAGAGCUUUUUCGCUGACGUUCUGAAAAGGAAGCAGGGGGCCACAGACGUCACAAAGUCUCCGGAACACCGAGAACUGGAAAAUGAUGACACCGAGGAUGCCAGUUUUAGCAGACAUCCCGCAGAGGGAUGUUGGUGUCUCCAGAAUUAUAUUUCAGACGUUAAAGCUCUUGAUAUGCCAUAUGAAUCGAGCAAUAUACUGUAGAUCAAAUAGCUUUCUGAGGAAACUUUGGCACCGUUGAGAGUCCUUGCUCAUUGAAAACUUUCAUUGAGAAAAGAAAAGCUGCCCCAGUUCCGGUUAGCUUUUUCCCUGGCCAGCUAUUCCCGUUGGCAUCCCGGACUGCUCUCCGACCACCAGGCACCACCUCGGCACAGGACUAUUCCCCUGACGUGGGCUGAACUCUUACUUUCUUCGUGAGUUGUCGGGUCGAGUGUUCUCCCCGCACCGAGAUCUCUGUGGUUCCCGAUCUCUCUCAGACGAGGGUGUCUGCUCUUCGUCGGGUUUAGUCUCUCCUCGCCGAUCUCGGACUGUUUUUUGAACUGUUUGUUUAUUAUUAUUAAAUAAAUAUCUUUGUUUUUCCCGCAUCUGAGUCCGCCACCUUGCUAUAUUUUUUCAAUUUCAAGGUACUUAAUUGUAUUGCUAUAUAUUGCUAUAUCAUGACAGAACGAUUUGACCACAAAUUGGACUCAGCGGGCAUCUUUGUUGGUCACAUUGCCUCCAGGCCCUGACACCAUGCUGUCGACACCACCCAGCUAUGAGCCCGAGCCCCACGUCCUCGACCCACAGCCCUACGAUGAUCCUGACAGAAUGAGUAUCAGAAUCCUGCCUCCUGCUAAUGCCCGUGAAAGACGGACCCGCCAUCUUGGUCUUACUGCCCUUCGGCAACUGGGCUUGGAUGUGGGGGCUUUUGCACAAUUGUUUUGGACAAUGGCUAUAGGGCUAGAUUAUGAUGACGCUUCCCUCAAGGACAUCUUUAAUACUUGUUUAGAUGAUUCGUUGCUUAAAUGGGAGAUGGAUGCUCUCAAGAUUCUGGAUUUUGGGGCUUCUCCAGAUACCUCGGCCAUCGUACCCAGUGGAAGACGCCUCGCAUAUCAGAGUGUGCCUGCAGCGACUACCCCGUCCAUCCAUCUUCAUCGAGUCAGGUUGAAAAUAUUUUUUUAACACCUUCACAGAAACAAAGGUUAAGAAGGAAGAAGGCGUCUGUGUCAGCUGCAGCCUCCCCUAAACCGGCUUCCGCGGCUGCGCCUCUAGGGCCAGGAGGCCCUAAGUCAGUGGCCGCUUUCCCCGAGCCAGCCACCGAGUCUUGUAUGAUGUAUAUUUCUAUAGGUAGAUGAGGAUCAGCUGAUGCAAGCUGAACUCACGUGACCUGUCAGAACUACUGUUAUAUACUUGAAUUGUAACAUUACCAGUGAAUACCAGUAUGAGACUAUAGCCCCUUUCACACAGUAAUCCUGGAAAAUGUAAAAAAAAUACCAGAAUGACCAGUCUUGAGAAGUAGCUAACUACAAAAAGUGAUUUUUAAACCGUGUAGCUUAUUCAGUAGCAGUGUAGUGCCACAAAAAGCUACAUUACGUUUGCUGUUUCAGAAACGCUCAAGCAUGCGCUUUCCUGCUAGUUUUAAAUGGCCUUGGGCUUGUUUUAUUACACAAGUGGCGAUGUAGAUAGCAAACUGACAUAGAAUCAAUGUCUUUCACGGCAUCGAAACGGCAUUGCGUGUCUGACAGAGGAGUUUACAUCGGAGAUCAUUCAAAACAAACGGACAAUUAACGCAAUUGAUAUACUUACCUAAUAUGUGUUGGAGAGAACCAACACAUAUUCAGUACGAAAUCGACGCACCGAUUCGCUUACAUGCAUCGUUGAAGCGAUGUUAAUUUCAGUUCUGUAAAAUUACCUAAUGCAAUAUACAUUUAACAUAAUUAACAUAAAAAUUUAACAUUAACAAUCUUAAAAUACUUAAUGCUAGUGCUGUGUUCGAAAUAUAGAUACCGUGAUACAUCGUCAUGAGCUCGGUACAACUGCCUCCAUAUUGAUUCUGCCGCACUUUUGAAAUCAGCCAAUUCUGUGUCAAAUAUUUUGUAACAGUUAUUAGUGGUGUAAAGGUAUCUGAUCGUAGUUUAUCCCUACGGGGUUUAUCCCCACGAUUAUGAAUGCAUGUGACCCCAGGAUUGACUGCAAAGUUUCACCUUCUUAAAGUAAAAAUUUAGGCACCCACUCUCACUCUUUGCAUCCGUGAAAGCAGUCAACAUUAAAGUGCCUUCUCGUGUCAUUCACUUAAACGGUUGCGUAUAAGGCAAGUUUUAACGUUAGGGUUGUGUAGGCGCUAAUUCAACACACAUUAUCUGCAUUAUCCAUUAUGAAACUGUUUCAUGUGAUUAAAAUCAAUGAAAGCCCGCCGCUUGAAAAGUAAGACAAGAAAGAGCCUCUGUAAAUGUGCGUGUAAAGUGAAGAGCAAAGACAUUCAAAUCUCAGGGCACCUGUCACAUUUAUAAUCUUACCUCUAAAAAUCCAAUGUCAUCCAUUUCAAUUCAAGACAAUUCUAUUUCAAGCGAAUCUAUUUACUCUGACUAUUUUAAACAACUGGUGAACAUUGUUUUGAUAAGUGGUUAUGAAUGGCAAGUUUCUGCAAGUUUUGCUCUAAAUCUGUGUUAUGAUCUGAGCCUAGAGUCUGUAAUUCAAAACAAUUCAUCAUUUUGCAUAUGAAAAACACAAUUUUUAUUCAAUUAUCGCAGUUGUUUUAAGACUCGUUAUUCCAAAACUGAUCAUAUUGUUACUAAAUUCUGCUCAAAAGAAAUAUUCACCCGUAUCGUGAUAUGUAUCAGACAGGGACAUUAUAUCGUGACACGUAUCGUGAUACACAGCCCUACUUAAUACUAAUAAAUAGCCAGCGUAUUAUCAAUUUAUUAAACAUCACAUUCAGUGUUUAUUACACAAAAUAGACAUUCACAAAUACAUCUUUAGAACACACAAACCUUAUUUAAGACUAAUAUACUGUAGUUUUCAUUUAGCCUCAGACAUAAUUCACUAUUAUUGCUUCUUUUCUAUAAACUCAAAUAAAGUAAUGCAUACCUGAAUAUAAGGCGUCAUUUUAUACCCCCAUUAACAAAGAUGUAUCAAUUAUAAAUUACUAUAUAUGAAAUGAAUGGUAUAGUUAUUAGGAUUGAUGUGGUGUGGAAUUGCUAAAAUGUGCUUAGAAAAAAAUAUGUGAUCAGAAUAUCGACAUACAUAAUUAUUCUUCACACAGUGUGUUAUAUAUUAUUGUAUUAUUGUAGCAAAAAUCAACACCUGUGAUGGGGGAAUAUGUAGAGAAUAUUUGAGUCAUAGAGAAACUGUUUUAGGAUUUGUGCACCUCCAAUUAAUACUUUGAAAACGGUGAAACUGUUGUGUUGUGAGGGAGAGAGAAGGAGAGAUAAACCCAACUCAUAAUAAAACCUUUUCUCAGUUACUUUAUUUACUGAUACACAUGUGUGACUGUACAACUUUAAUAACACUUCUAAUAACAGCUGUCUUCAUCUUAGUCUCACAGAAAAACAUUACAAUUCAUACUCAUUACAAAGUGUCUAAAAGAGUAUUCACAUAACUGUACCAACACAACAAUUCUUGUAACAAUUAACUCUUCAGUUAAAAGAAUAUUUUGGAUUCAAUACAAAAAUACAUUUUAAAGAAAAAAAAGAAAAAGAAAAUUUCCUAUUUGUGGCAUUGACUGUGAAAACCCAGCUAAAGUACUUUUUGUGAUUUACUGGUUUCUACAUAAAAUAAUUCUACAUAUUGCAGUUAGGUCAUAAUUUCGGCUUAAUUUCUCAUCAUUUUGACUUCUUGACUUCUUUUCUCAUAAUUUCAACUUCAU